rnacentral:rRNA from 1 species
UACGUAGGGUGCAAGCGUUGUCCGGCAUUAUUGGGCAUAAAGAGCUCGUAGGCGGUUUGUCGCGUCGGCUGUGAAAACUCGGGGCUCAACCCCGAGCCUGCAGUCGAUACGGGCAGACUAGAGUGCUGUAGGGGAGACUGGAAUUCCUGGUGUAGCGGUGAAAUGCGCAGAUAUCAGGAGGAACACCGGUGGCGAAGGCGGCCUUCUGGACAGUGACUGACGCUGAGACGCGAAAGCGUGGGGAGCAAACAGG